GCACAGUGCUUUUGCAUCUCCGACGGCCCUGUGCGUGGUAAAAACGAGCUUCCAACAGGAGAGCUAUAAACGAAAGGCAUUUUGGCUCGGAGGAGAGAGGAGACGUAAAAAUAGCAUCCCUCUCUCCUCGAUGCAUCUCACAGACAAGCAACGACUGCAGCGCGGAAGUGUCAAAAUCUCCAGCUGCGCGCGAGAAACGGAUCCUCUCCGGAGCAACAAGGCCAUACUGGGGGCUUUGCAGGCGGCCGGCGACAAGAUCUUCCACGGCGAGACCUUCGGCGGCACAAGCGACUACUGAAUCGACAAGUGCUUGGAUCGGCAUCCCACGUUGCCGGCGACCAUAGAAGGAUGGACCAGAACUUUGGCGAGGAUGGAUCCCAAAGCAAUGUCUUCUUUGCUUCCGACCAGUGCACAUUUCGUUUUGAUACUAGUCGAUCAAAUUUCCAAGAUUUAAACAUGCACCAGGUAUUGACAUGGCAAUAAUAUUGGAGUCAACUAUUUUCUUGAGUUAAUUUGUUGUCACUGCAUGCAGUACAAUUUUGU